GAUGAACGCUGGCGGCGUGCCUAAUACAUGCAAGUCGAGCGAACGGACGAGAAGCUUGCUUCUCUGAUGUUAGCGGCGGACGGGUGAGUAACACGUGGAUAACCUACCUAUAAGACUGGGAUACCUUCGGGAAACCGGACCUAAUACCGGAUAAUAUUUUGAACCGCAGGGUUAAAAAGUGAAGGACGGUCUUGCUUUCACUUAUGAAUGGAUCCGCGCUGCAUUAGCUAGUUGGUAAGGUAACGGCUUACCAAGGCAACGAUGCAUAGCCGACCUGAGAGGGUGAUCGGCCACACUGGAACUGAGACACGGUCCAGACUCCUACGGGAGGCAGCAGUAGGGAAUCUUCCGCAAUGGGCGAAAGCCUGACGGAGCAACGCCGCGUGAGUGAUGAAGGUCUUCGGAUCGUAAAACUCUGUUAUUAGGGAAGAACAUAUGUGUAAGUAACUGUGCACAUCUUGACGGUACCUAAUCAGAAAGCCACGGCUAACUACGUG
rnacentral:rRNA from 1 species